rnacentral:sRNA from 1 species
UGUCUUAGAACAAAGGCUAAAUCGCGGCGUCACGCCGCAGCGCCUUUGCGACUCAUCCUGUGAG